rnacentral:tmRNA from 1 species
GGGGGCGACUGGCUUCGACCGGAUAAGUUGACUCUCAAGCGGCAUGUCCAGGAUGGCAGUUGGCCUGGUAAAAAAUCUGCUGACUAUUUUUUAUAUGGCAAAAAUAACUUUGCUAUGGCUGCCUAAAAAAUUGCAGCCCGUCAACCUGAAAGCUGCCCGUGCUUGAAGGUCUUGGCGCCAAAACUUACGGGAUAGCCUGAGAAAGCUGCCUUCGGUUCUCAGGUGAAAUUUAGAGGGCUGGUUUCUGCGAAGGCCUGUUUCUCAGCCUACCGCGGAAACGAGAAUUAAAUGAGAAACUAAACAUGUAGAAGCUUGGGAUGAAGUAUCACGGGACGAGGGUUCAAUUCCCUCCGCCUCCA